UCAUUUCUGAGGAGGGAACAGAUGGAUGGUGGUGGGGUGCUCAAAAGUGUUUUGCAAAUUACCUCCCAAUCAAACUUACAGAUGCUCAAAAAAUAGCCAGCCCUCACAGUCACCACGGCCAAGAUCUUUGCAAGAAAUUCGUCUUUUGCUCUUGCCAGCUAUAGGACCUAAAGAUAAAUGGAGAGGACUGCUGAAAUGUCUGAAAUCAAAGAUAAGGAAGAAUGUUAUCUGAUACUCAGGGCACUAUCGGGGAGUGCCAGCAUGCUGCACAGAACUCAAGAGCUAAAGGAUGGCUCUGAACCCCAGUCAGAGAAAGUACUUUCUCUUUCCAAAGCCUCAAAAC